UACGAAGGGGGCUAGCGUUGUUCGGAUUUACUGGGCGUAAAGCGCACGUAGGCGGAUCGUUAAGUCGGGGGUGAAAUCCUGGAGCUCAACUCCAGAACUGCCUUCGAUACUGGCGAUCUAGAGUCCGGAAGAGGUGAGUGGAACUCCUAGUGUAGAGGUGAAAUUCGUAGAUAUUGGGAAGAACACCGGUGGCGAAGGCGGCUCACUGGCUCGUAUCUGACGCUCAGGCGCGACAGCGUGGGGAUCAAACAGG
rnacentral:rRNA from 1 species